rnacentral:tRNA from 1 species
CGAGGUGUAGCGCAGAUGGUAGCGCGCCUGCUUUGGGAGCAGGAUGCCGCAGGUUCGAAUCCUGUCACCUCGACCA